rnacentral:ncRNA from 1 species
CUCUGUUCCAGACGGUUCAGGGCAAAGGAG